UGGGGAAUUUUGGACAAUGGACGCAAGUCUGAUCCAGCCAUGCCGCGUGCGGGAAGAAGGCCUUCGGGUUGUAAACUGCUUUUGUACGGAGCGAAAAGGUCUGCCCUAAUACGGUGGGCUCAUGACGGUACCGUAAGAAUAAGCACCGGCUAACUACGUGCCAGCAGCCGCGGUAAUACGUAGGGUGCGAGCGUUACUCGGAAUUACUGGGCGUAAAGCGUGCGUAGGUGGUGGUUUAAGUCUGCUGUGAAAGCCCUGGGCUCAACCUGGGAAUUGCAGUGGAUACUGGAUCACUAGAGUGCGGUAGAGGGGGAUGGAAUUCCGCGUGUAGCAGUGAAAUGCGUAGAUAUGCGGAGGAACACCGAUGGCGAAGGCAAUCCCCUGGACCUGUACUGACGCUCAUGCACGAAAGCGUGGGGAGCAAACA
rnacentral:rRNA from 1 species